AUAACCAAACUUACGUUUUCUCCUCCGUAUUCUUGAAUUCUUAAAAGGAUCCAGAAAAGAUGGCAACAGAAGCGACAGCAUAAGAGAAAAAAAAAGGAAGCACCCACGUGGCCGAUCCGAGCUCAGAUCCAGGCUAAUCUGAAGCUAAAUCCAGAUCGAUCCGAAGUCCAGAUCCAGACCGAUCCGAAGCUCAAAACUAGACC
rnacentral:lncRNA from 1 species